CUAUGAUAACCCAGCAUGUUGUGCACUGCAUGCUGACAAGCAUCAAAGAGGAAGGAGGAAUAAAGUAGAUCAAGACAGCUUUGAGAGAAACUUCCAGCAGAGCAAAUGAGGAUGGCACAGCCUAUCACUUUUCUGGGGAUCUGUAAUGACUAUGCCACACUACAAGUAGAGUAUAUGGUUCUGCAUCAAGAGGAGGCCUUUAAUAUUCAGAGAUGACUGUUCUGAAAUUGGAGUAGCUGCCACCUUGUUCCAGAAUCCAUCAUCAGCACUUCACAUAUCUUAACUCCUUCUUCUUCAGAAAACUUGCUUUGAGCAAAUGAUAGAAGGUAAUAUUCUACAGAUGAGGAAAUUAAGGGGAAACCUUAGCCUGUAGACAGCCUAUCUACCUAACAACCUGACUCACUGAAGGCCAAGGAUUAACAACAGAACUGUUGUAGUAAUCCAGGAAAGAAAAGAAGAGGAAAAAGUGAUGAGUAAAGCAAAAAAAUCUAAUGAUGAAGUACUCAGAAGAAAUGUGUUGCCAUAGAUCAGGACAAAUAUUUCCAGAUUUGAUUCCAGUAUUACUAAAGUGAGCCAGAGCAUAUUUCUAAACUCUA